GUUUACGCGGAUGCAAUGACCUUCAUCCUCAAAUCCGAUGUCAACACACACCCAGUUAAACUCUUCCUACGAAAACGUACGCUAAUUCACCAACACAUAUUCGGAUACAUGAUGAAAAACACUUACCGACGUACCAAUUAACAAACAAAUUCAAUCAAUAUCCUCAUUAUCAUCUCCAAUCAUGACAACUUUUUAUCAAGCGUAAUGCGCUGUUUUUUUAUUGCUCUUUUUUUCACGAGCUUUUUUCAUUCAGACUUUUCGCGAAAAUGUCCUUCCUAAGUGCUGGUUUUUAUGCUUUAGAUUAGGCAGUUGGAGACAUAUAAAAGCUGGCCGCUAACAAAUCAGCAUCAUUCACUCCUCACAGUUAAUUCUUACAGUUCCCUGUGUAACCAACAACAACACCCAAACUCAAAAUGGCCUUCUUCAAAUGGUUCAUCUUCGCCGCCGUCGUCGUUGUUGCCGCCGCUGAAUACGGAUCUUCCGGACACGGAUCCUCUGGAUACGGUUCCUCCUCAUACGGACACGGUUCUUCCUCAUACGGACACGGUUCUUCCGGAUCUUCUGGAUACGGUGCCUCCGCAUACGGACACGGUUCUUCCGGAUACGGACAUGGAUCAUCCGGAUACGGAUCUUCUGCACCCGCCGUCUCCUACCAGAACGUAAACCUUUACCCACAACAACAACACGGCUACUCCGCUCCCAGCUACUCAGCUCCCAGCUACUCUCAUGGAUCCAGCUACUCAGCUCCCAGCUACUCUCAUGGAUCCAGCUACUCAGCUCCCAGCUACUCUCAUGGAUCCAGCUACUCUGCUCCCAGCUACUCCCAUGGUUCCAGCUACUCUCAUGGCUCCAGCUACUAAGAGUGCACUUUAUCACUACCCAUCCAUCCCCAUCCCUCUUAAUUUAUUUCACCCCCAUCCACUUCAAACAUUUUAAUUUAUUGAACCAUUCAAAAUUCAAAAAUAAAAAUCCGAAAGCUCAUACAACGUCUUUUUGAUUUCCCUUCCACGAAGAAAGCACGAAACGCGUGAAAGUUCGUGCCCUUAAACUAAAAAUGUAUGCAUAGAGAAACCGAAUGCUUUUCACCAUGCUGAGAGCUCAUUU
rnacentral:lncRNA from 1 species